rnacentral:lncRNA from 1 species
ACGGGCUAGGCUGCGGGGUGCCCAAAUGGGCCGGUUGGGUCGCGCGACCCUUGGAGGGUGUAGGUUACGCGCACAUGAGGUGCUGCAUAAAUGACCUGCUGCCUUUUGCGCAUGCGCGCUACCAUGCGCAUACCAAUGUUUGCGGGAGUGCUGUUCCGCACGCCUCGUAUGUUCGCUCACGCGAGUGAGGCUCCCCCAUGUGCGAGCGAUCUUUCCCGCACGUGUGGUGGUUCUCACAUGUGCUGGAAGCACGUCACAUGUGUGGCACAUGUUGGCUCUUGCUUUCCCAAUCUAGACUGCUUCUUGUGGGCAUUUUCUUGGGCUUCGACGGGGAGCUCGUUUGUAAUACCCCAAAUCUCUGCGCUUUAGCAUAUAUUCAAAAUUCUAUUAAUUUGAGCGUAAUAGCCAAUUUAAAUUUUCAUCAGUAAUUAAUUUGUCUAC